rnacentral:misc_RNA from 1 species
GAUGAAGAACGCAGCGAAAUGCGAUAAGUAGUGUGAAUUGCAGAAUUCAGUGAAUCAUCGAAUCUUUGAACGCACAUUGCGCCCCUUGGUAUUCCAUGGGGCAUGCCUGUUCGAGCGUCAUUUGUACCUUCAAGCUCUGCUUGGUGUUGGGUGUUUGUCUCGCCUCUGCGUGUAGACUCGCCUUAAAACAAUUGGCAGCCGGCGUAUUGAUUUCGGAGCGCAGUACAUCUCGCGUUUUGCACUCAUAACGACGACGUCCAAAAGUACAUUUUUACACUCUUGACCUCGGAUCAGGUAGGGAUACCCGCUGAACUUAAGCAUAUCAAUAAGCGGAGGA